rnacentral:rRNA from 1 species
CAGAUUGAACGCUGGCGGCAUGCUUUACACAUGCAAGUCGAACGGUAACAGGCCGCAAGGUGCUGACGAGUGGCGAACGGGUGAGUAAUGUAUCGGAACGUGCCCAGUCGUGGGGGAUAACGCAGCGAAAGCUGCGCUAAUACCGCAUACGAUCUAUGGAUGAAAGCGGGGGACCGUAAGGCCUCGCGCGAUUGGAGCGGCCGAUAUCAGAUUAGGUAGUUGGUGGGGUAAAGGCUCACCAAGCCAACGAUCUGUAGCUGGUCUGAGAGGACGACCAGCCACACUGGGACUGAGACACGGCCCAGACUCCUACGGGAGGCAGCAGUGGGGAAUUUGGACAAUGGGGGAAACCCUGAUCCAGCCAUCCGCGUGUGCGA